GAUGAACGCUGGCGGCGUGCCUAAUACAUGCAAGUCGAGCGAACAGAUAAGGAGCUUGCUCCUUUGACGUUAGCGGCGGACGGGUGAGUAACACGUGAGUAACCUACCUAUAAGACUGGGAUAACUUCGGGAAACCGGAGCUAAUACCGGAUAACAUUUGGAACCGCAUGGUUCUAAAGUGAAAGAUGGUUUUGCUAUCACUUAUAGAUGGACCCGCGCCGUAUUAGCUAGUUGGUAAGGUAACGGCUUACCAAGGCAACGAUACGUAGCCGACCUGAGAGGGUGAUCGGCCACACUGGAACUGAGACACGGUCCAGACUCCUACGGGAGGCAGCAGUAGGGAAUCUUCCGCAAAGGGCGAAAGCCUGACGGAGCAACGCCGCGUGAGUGAUGAAGGGUUUCGGCUCGUAAAACUCUGUUAUUAGGGAAGAACAAACGUGUAAGUAACUGUGCACGUCUUGACGGUACCUAAUCAGAAAGCCACGGCUAACUACGUG
rnacentral:rRNA from 1 species